UGCUCUUCUCACUCUGACAGGCUGCAGAAUAACGACCACGUUUUCCUCCAGAUCAUCCCAUCUUCCUAGGGGAUGGGCAAGGGAAAUGGCUGUGGUGGAUCCAGCUCAGAUGCCAGUGACCUUUGAGGAGGUGGCUAUGUAUUCACUGAGGGGCAGGGGGCUCUGCUGGACCCCGGUCAGAGAGCCCUCUACAGGGACAUCAUGCAGGAGAAUUAUGAGACUGUGACCUCUCUGGUACUCCCCAUUCCAAAACCUGACCUGACCUCCCGGCUGGAAGGAGGGGAAGAGCUGUGGAUCCUGGUGUUACACCCCAAGGUCCCCUCUCUCAGGGAGUCCCCUGGGAAAGAGAUCAGCAUUGUAUAUUGCUAACGCUGUUGCUACCAUUGCAAAGCAUUUUGGGGAGGGUCAAAGGUGUGUGAGUGGGGAACGGAAGAUUCCUUUGCAGGAGUACGAGAGGCCGAGAGAGGGGGAGAAGAAAGAAGAAAGCAGAGAACGGGUUAACUCAAUAGUGCAACUAACAAGCUCAGUCCGAAGAUAAGACGCUAACUCCAGCUAGCU